GUUAAAAGCAAAAAAAAUUGAGAGAGAGCUGGAAAAACAGUGAAUUGGGGGGAAAAUAUCAAAACCCACAUAUCUGUUUGCAAAAAAACCAAAGUAAUUAUUUAUAUAGCACAUGACGACAAAGAGAAGGUGAAGACCACGUAAUUCAACAGAUCCAAGUCGAUCUGCAAAACAGUGCCCCCCGCGACCCGGACCCAGCGAGCGUCACACCUGUUUUGUCGUGGACGAUGGAGAAGAGGAUACGCUUUGACGAAUGCACAUUCUGGAUGAGCGGACCACCAGGGACUGCCGAUUUCUGUCCUGGACACAAGGAAAUACAAGGAGUGAGUCUAUUCAUGCGCCAGAACACGUCACACACACCUCCUGAAGGCUGCGUAUGACGGAUCAAAGUUACCAUCAGCAGACUGUGGCCACCAUAC